rnacentral:lncRNA from 1 species
GUUGGAGACAGCAAGGGAACCCUUUCCACCAGGAAGAGGAGGAGCCUUUUAACAAGCCGGUGCUGAUACGGCCAUCCUCACUCCUGCCCCUCAUCUGUCUUACUUCUUGGCUUCCCCGUCUGAGUCCACAAAGACAGGCAGAGAAGUACAGACCGACAGUCACGGUGAGACCGGGAUGCGGCAGGAGAGAGACCGGAGGAUGGGAAGAGCCAGGGUCCUAUGCGGCCACCUCCGGAGACCAGGCCUGCUGGCGAACAAGAAAGGGAGACGGGCAACGGACGGUGCAUGGUGGUCUCCAGAUGUAGCCGGAACUCUUAACUGCCGAAAAAGAAGUCCGAAGCCACUGUUGCAACACACUGAAGCUCCAUUAAAGCAGAAAACAUGUAAGGAAGAACUCAAGAACAUCUCAGCCCUGCACCCACAGGCAACCACCUUGCAACAGAGCGAGUCUUCAUUCUGGAUGAGUUGAUGUAUACAUAUUGUGUCCUGCGACCAAUUAAAAUGAUACUAAGUAGACAAGCAAGCUCCAACCUCUGGAAAAUGCUUUGGGAAAGGUGUUCCAUAUUUUACAAUGUCCAUGGUAGGAUGAAAUGCAACUCAUUUUGCAAUGCCUUCAUGGUCAUAUACUUC